rnacentral:rRNA from 1 species
GCGGAAGGAUCAUUAAAGAGAUAGGGUCUUCAUGGCCCGACCUCCAACCCUCUGUUGUUAUAACUACCUUGUUGCUUUGGCGGGACCGUCUCGGUCUCCGAGCGCACUAACCCUCGGGUUGGUGAGCGCCCGCCAGAGUCCAACCAAACUCUUGUAUUAAACCAGUCGUCUGAGUAUAAAAUUUUAAUUAAAUUAAAACUUUCAACAACGGAUCUCUUGGUUCUCGCAUCGAUGAAGAACGCAGCGAAAUGCGAUAAGUAAUGUGAAUUGCAGAAUUCAGUGAAUCAUCGAAUCUUUGAACGCACAUUGCGCCCCUUGGUAUUCCGAGGGGCAUGCCUGUUCGAGCGUCAUUACACCACUCAAGCAUCGCUUGGUAUUGGGAACGGUCCGUCGAAAGGCGGGCCUUCCUCGAAGACCUCGGCGGGGUUCAACCAACUUCGGGCGUAGUAGAGUUAAAUCGAACGUCUUAUAAGCUUGGUCGGAUCUCAUUGCCGUUAAACCUUUAAAUUUUCUAGGUUGACCUCGGAUCAGGUAGGGAUACCCGCUGAACUUAAGCAUA